GGCUCAACUAAGGCUAGUCAGGGAUUCGAGAGAAGGAGGAAGACCAUAACAAAGACGUACUUCGUUGGCUGAGAAUUGCGCAACCGAUUUGCGGGUAAUCAAAAAUGGUGUAAUUGCUGAGUCAUAGGUUCUGCAUGUUGUCAUUCCAUUCGUUUCUGUUCGAUUUAGCACUUAUUUGUGAAACAUUGUUGGGUGUGUGUCUGAUUUGGUGUUUUAUCAAUUCGAGUCUUUUAUGUGUUUCAGUUGGAUAUAACUUUGUUUAGUAUUGAUUUCAAAACUGUCCGAGCUAAUCUAGAAGACGGAGUUCAGAGCAAGAUGUUCAUAGGUAUGCUGGCACUUCGUUUUCCAUUCACUUUUGAUUAUCCAAAUCAAUCAAUGUGAAAGAGAAGCCUCAAAGUACCCAUCACUCAUAGCUUGAAAUGGAUAGAAAGAAGGAAUGAAAGAAAGAGAGAGGUCCGUUCGAUCUUUUGUUGUUGGUUGCUGAUCAAAGGAUUGUUGAUAGGGAGAGAAUUUUCAUCUGUUCUUUGUUUGUCGGGUUAAAAGAUUAUUCCCAACCACUAUCUUGCUUCAAGUCAUUUUCUUCAGUGAGUACCAGACCCAGCAAGGGUAACCAAAGCACCACAGCAAGUAAGUUUUCAAAUGUUGCAGAUAUAUAUUCAUCAGGGUAAUUGAUUCUGUCUUUGCUCAAUUUCUGGUUUUCAAGUAAAGUCAGUUGCUUCUUCACAGCUAAAAUGGGUUCCAUUUAUGCAAUUUGGUGAAUUUGAGGGAUAGAUUUUUUUAUUUUUUUUUGUGUUUGCAUGUAAUUUUGUAACAUUUGUUCUUAGUUUUUGAGGGUGUACUUUGUUUAGUGAUAUACUGUUAUACAGCUGCAAUCAGGGAUGUAGUGAAAGACAUCAAUUGAGAUUGGUAUACGACGGUAGUGUAUCUGUUUCAUUUGAUCGAGUGUGGUUUCUGCUUAUUUUCAGUUAUUUGCUACUUUAUUUUCUGCUAUACCUGUUUCAUUUGAUCAACUGUGGUUUCUGCUUACUUUUAGUUGUUUACUACUUUGUUUUUAUUUGAACUGUCCAUAUUUGAAAUUCAUGGAGCACAUGGGUACCUUAGAAACAUGAACUGUACUACAGAAGAUCAUAGUAAAUGAGAAGGAGAGGGAAUUCAUGAUUAUAUGUAAUGAAAUCAAAAUUGAUCGCGAGAUUACUGCUGGAACUGAGAUAGUAACAUAAUGAGUCUGGUAUAACACCAAAAUUGGUCAUGUAUUGUUAAAGGUGGAAGUAGUACAUAGUAGCUUCCUUUAGCAUGGUAUAUAUUUGGUUAAUGUGAGAGUUCACAGUUACUUGCAUAUACUCUUGCAAAGGAAAGGGUUGGUCUCCUACUUUGAUAUUCAACAGAUGAAGUUUCUCAUUCAGAGGAAAUGAAUUGCUAUUAAUUAUUUCAGAUUUCAGUUUAGCCUCUGUUCCACCUUCUCUUUUAAGUUUUGCGUAUAAAUUCUAUAGCUUUUCAGCACCACCAGUUCAGAAAAAACAGGAAAUUAAAUAGAAUAGAAAACUAUAUAAUGUUCCACAGUCAAUACUCCAAUUCUCAAAAGCAGCUCACUAUAAUUUGGCUUUGUUUGCCAUGGACUGGGAACCACAUAGUUUGAAGAGACAAUUAAUUGACAUAAGGUCAUUUGUUAGUCAUUUGUGCUCUGCUUGGUGUCUAGGUUUGGAUAUCUGUUAGUCAUUUGUUCUUUAUGGCCCUGUUUGGUGUCUAGCUUUGGAUUGUGGAUCCAAGCUCACGUUUAGAUUGAAUGAUUAAUAAUGGAAGAAACAGAGACUAACUUCCAACUUUGAUCCAAUUUAAGUAAAGAGUUUACAUCCCACCAUUUUGUGUUCAUCAGGAGGAGUUUCCUCCCUGGAAACAAUCCAACUUUCUUUGAAUUGAAAAUUUAAGUUCAAUUCUAGCAGCUAGGUUAUUCUUCCCCACUGUGUUCAUAUUGGUUGUUUGUCACUCUCCCUUUUGAACAUGAAAUUGAUGAUCUCUGAAGUUGGUUUAGAUUACAAGUAAACCAUAUUGUUCAGUGAGAUGAGUUUUGAUAAAAGAUGACAUAUAGGCAUUUGAUUGCUCAUAGUGACAUCAACUUGGGUUCACUUUAUGAUUCUAUCUUGAUAUGAUGUAUACCAAGUUUCCUUUUGAUUCAAGUCAACUUGAAAGUCAAUGAAUCCGUAAUCGUUAUAUAAUUAGUUAAUGAAUGCAUUGCUGGAUCAACAACUUUUUAAGCUUAGUACAUCUAAGUCUGACCAACUUUAUCUCUUAUCUGUUCAUCUAUAUAUCAUAGUUGCAUUUUUUCCCCCAGCUUCAUCAUGUACUCAUCAAGUGUGCUUAAUAUCUGGAUGAAGAUUCAUAGUUGAAGGCUACAGACUUUGGCCUGUCAGAUUUUGUGAAACCAGAUGAAAAGUUUAUCAAAAUUGUUAGUAGUACAUACUGUGUAGCCCGCAAAGUGUUACAUAUGGCUUAUGGUACAGAGGCUGAUGUCUGGAGCGUAGGUGUGAUUGCACACAUUCUAUUGUGUGGCAGCUGUCCAUUUUGGCCUUGAACGAAGUUUGGCAUUUUUCGGGCAGUUCUAAAAGUUGAUCCAAGUUUCAAUGAACCACCUUGGCCACAUUCUCUACAGAGGCAAAAGUAAUUUUGUCAAGCGCCUAUUGAAUCAAGACCCACGGAAAAGAAUUACCACUGCACAAACGUGAAGUCAUCCCUGCCUUGAACAUCAUAACACUGUUAAACUUCCUCUGGACGUAAUAAUAUUCAAGCUCAUGAAG